GUGGGGAAUCUUCCGCAAUGGACGAAAGUCUGACGGAGCAACGCCGCGUGAGUGAUGAAGGUCUUCGGAUUGUAAAACUCUGUUGUCAGGGACGAAUGUGCGAAUGUUGAAUAAGCGUUUGUAUUGACGGUACCUGACGAGGAAGCCACGGCUAACUACGUGCCAGCAGCCGCGGUAAUACGUAGGUGGCAAGCGUUGUCCGGAAUUAUUGGGCGUAAAGAGCAUGUAGGCGGGCUUUUAAGUCCGACGUGAAAAUGCGGGGCUUAACCCCGUAUGGCGUUGGAUACUGGAAGUCUUGAGUGCAGGAGAGGAAAGGGGAAUUCCCAGUGUAGCGGUGAAAUGCGUAGAUAUUGGGAGGAACACCAGUGGCGAAGGCGCCUUUCUGGACGGUGUCUGACACUGAGGCGCGAAAGCCAGGGGAGCGAACGGGAUUAGAUACCCCGGUAGUCC
rnacentral:rRNA from 1 species